rnacentral:tRNA from 1 species
GAAGGUAUAGCUCAGUGGUCGAGUACAUGCCUAGUAUGCAUGAGGUCCUGGAUUCAAUGCCCAGUACCUCCG